CCUACGGGAGGCAGCAGUGAGGAAUAUUGGUCAAUGGACGAGAGUCUGAACCAGCCAAGUAGCGUGAAGGAUGACUGCCCUAUGGGUUGUAAACUUCUUUUAUAUGGGAAUAAAAUGUUCCACGUGUGGGAUUUUGUAUGUACCAUAUGAAUAAGGAUCGGCUAACUCCGUGCCAGCAGCCGCGGUAAUACGGAGGAACCGAGCGUUAUCCGGAUUUAUUGGGUUUAAGGGGAGCGUAGGUGGAUUGUUAAGUCAGUUGUGAAAUUUUGCGGCUCAACCGUAAAAUUGCAGUUGAAACUGGCAGUCUUGAGUACAGUAGAGGUGGGCGGAAUUCGUGGUGUAGCGGUGAAAUGCUUAGAUAUCACGAAGAACUCCGAUUGCGAAGGCAGCUCACUGGACUGCAACUGACACUGAGGCUCGAAAGUGUGGGUAUCAAACAGGAUUAGAUACCCCUGUAGUC
rnacentral:rRNA from 1 species